AAAGCGCUUGUAAUGGCGCUCGUUAGCCGUGACGGGCUCAUCACGUCGCAGUUUGGAAUCUCGCAUGGCGAUCGGAUCGCUCCUCAAGCGUGGCGGCGAUCCAGUCCGAUAAGCGAAGCGCGCUUAAAAAUAGCGGCGAACGAGCCACAUUAAAAGAUAAGAUCGCACGGCGGGGAAAACGCGCUAGAGCGUCUCUUCCUGCCGUCAGACUCGCGACGCCCGCGGGAAAUCUUCUUUGAGGACGUUCGCGGCGCAACUGCUCGCCUGUCCCAUCCUUUCGUCGUCCGAUUGAGAAACCUCACCUCUUUUUAAGAAGGUUUAUUUAAAAAUAGUGUAACCCACAUAAAAAAUUGCUACAGUUAAAAGUAAAUAGAGCAGCAAUUAGGUUAGAGGUUUUCUUCAUACAAGGUGGUGGAAUAUUUGUUAGUGUGUGCUGAAUUUAUUUCCCUUCGGAGGGAUUUGUUUUUAAACGUGUUUCAUUAGUUUUGAAAAGAAAUAUUUUGUUUGUGAUUUUAUUAUCGUGACUCGUGUUUAGGAAGGACAGGAAGUGACGUACUGGGGGGCGCGAGAGAAGGAGAGGAAAAAAAAGCGGGAAGGAGUGUGAAGAAUGUGUCUGAUUUUGAAGAAAAGAAAAGUUAAAGGCGGACAUUUAUCAACAUUGCUCAACGUGUUCGACAAGGACUGUUGACAGACAAAUUCCCAAGCGGGAGUUCAUCGAUGUACGAGGCCCGGCGAUGUCUGCUUUAACCAAAAUGGCUGACAACUCGGUUCACUUUCCGCCAUUGUUGGCGUAAUGACUUGGCCCACGACAGCUGCCUCCAAGCAUAAUGGCUGACUUCCUGUACACUUUUGGCAGGGGUCCCUAAGAUUUUUUUUUGUCACCUGUUUUGAUGGAUGUCUGCCCACAUUUUGAGUCAAUGGGCCAAACUGGUGUUGGAGUGUUUCUUCUCCUUUUUUUCUUCUCCUUCUCUUCCUCCCUUUUCUUCUCUUCCUUCCCCUCCUUGUCCUCCACCUUCUCCUCAUCCUUCUCCUAUUUCUUCUCAUCCUCCUCCUCCUUCUACUACUCCUUCUUCUACUCCUCCUUAUCAUCCUUCUCUUCCUUCUCCUCCUCCUACUUCUUAUCACCCUUCUCCUCCGUCUCGUUCUUCUCAGUCUCAUCCUACUCCUUUUACUCAUCCCUUUUCUACUACUUCUCUUCCUCCUCAUUUUCCUCUUUAUCCUUCUCCUUAUCCUUCUACUACUCCUCCCCUCAUUCUUCUAAUCCUCCUCAUCAUCCUUCCUCUCCUACUCUUUCCCCAUAUCAUCCUUCUUCUCCUCCUUCUACUCCUCCUUAUUAUCCUUCUCCUUAUCCUCCUUUCUUCUCCGUCUCCUCCUUCUUCCUCUUCUCCUUUUACUCAUUCAUCUUCUAGUACUCCUCGUUUUCCUCCUUAUUCUCUUUCUCCAUAUCAUCCUUCUUCUACUCCUCCUUAUCCUCCUUUCUUCUCCGUCUCCUCCCUCUUCUCUUUCUUUUACUCAUCCACCUUCUACUACUCUUUGUUUUCCUCCAUAUCCUUUUUCUCCUCCACAUCCUUCUACUACUACUCCUCCCCUUCAUUCUUCUACUCCUCCUUUUUCUUCAUCUUCUCCUCUUUCUGCCUCUUCUCCUCAUCUUCCUCCACCAAUAUUGAAACUUGUUGACAUGAUAAUCAUUGACCCACUCAUAGCAAAUUGGGUGGAUGUGCGGGACAAAAUUCACUCAAAUGAACCCAACUCGGAAACGGGUACAGUAGACAAACGAGCAACUUCAACCCUGCCUCGCUAAGCUUAAAUUUCACCGAUUGGAAUCUAUUGAUGAGUUUUCCAGAAAAGUGUUCUGGAAUCCUCUUUCCACGUGCAAUGAAACGCAUUCGUGCUACAACGAUGAUGCCGCAUUUGUCGUCUGCUUUGUGAAUUAAAGACCUCGCCAAAACAUGGCUCCCGCGGUGAGAGCGGUCGAGAAGCCUCGAAUAUGAAUAUAAUACAUUAAAGUCAGUUUGUGUGUGUGGCUGGUUACAAGGAAACAUUUCUUGUGGGUUAUUGUCUGCUCUCAGCAACAAGAACAAAAGUUUUCAUGGAAGCUUCAAGGCCAGCAGCUUCUCCACUUAGUGCCGUUGAAUGCCACGCGGUUGAAAAAGUGUCAUUUUUAAUUUCAUCAGUAGUGUUUCUAAAAAAAAAAUUUUUUUCCACCCCUACUUUUUUUUUCUUAAUGUCACAACCACUUUAUGAAUAUAAAUGUGUUUGUCUGGACACUCGGGAGGGGAAAGGAAAAGUCAAUUUCUUUCUAAACGCCGAGGGUCAGGGAGAAGGUGAGAACAGGGGAGUGCAAGUAUAUUAGCGGCGCUAAAUUACAUCUCCAGAGGCUCUGAUUGUGUUUGUGCUCCACUGCAGCCUUUUAGAUUGAAUUUGAUGGACAGAAUGUGCUCACUUUAAUGCGUCUGGGUGCCUUUUAACGCAUGCCGGGCCGCUUCCUGCUUCACCGCAUCACGCAGUUUACCAUCAAACGCGCUGUUUUACGCCCCAUAAAUGCAACAUUCGGGCAAAUGUCUCGGGACGGCCGACUUAAUUAACCGAUCAAUUGAGAAACCGGAGCAUCACGAUUGGCUUUCUAUACAUUUCUGCUAUGGGGAUGAUGCGAGAUAUCGUUUUAGUUAUGUGUUUGGUAUCGUGUCAUCAAUUUUUGCUGCUCUGCUCCGCCAAACACUUUAUGAGCAAAACUUAGACGUUUAUCACUCUUGCGUCAGACAUCCUGGAAGUGGCGCAAAUGAACCCAAAAUGGCAGACUUCCGUUGUCUUUUCAGGCCUGAAAAAGGCUGUUAUUCAGGUCUACCGAUAAUAAAUUAGACUACCAACUUACAUGUUGUUAUGCUUACCUGACUUCAGGUGUUGAUUCCCCCCCCCCCCCCCCAACAGUCUAGGUCCAGGUAAGUUUUGAAGGACACUUGGAAAUGACCAAAUUGAGCCAAAAAUCGCUGUUUCAAACCGCAAGGGCAAACUUCCUGUGAAUCUCCAGGCAAAGCUUCUUGAGGCCCUAACCCUAACGAUAAAUGGAUCUAGCAACUUUCCAACGUUUUAACGUUUCCAAGUUAAAACUGGCUUUGUGGGCUGGAUUUCCACACAUCUAACAGUCAAAGCGAACCAACGUAUUCACCUGAGCUUUUCACACAGAAUCCAGCGAAGUAGAAUGGCGGCAGAAUUGUGCUGUUUUACGCAGUGACACAACAUCCCAACCCACAAUCAUAUUGUGGUCAUGAUCCUACUCAGGAAACCCCCUUUCUCUUUCCUUGUCAUAAUAUGCGAGUGGUCUUCAACGCAAAGACGAUGAAAUCUAAUGAAUCCAU